rnacentral:rRNA from 1 species
UACGUAGGGUGCGAGCGUUAAUCGGAAUUACUGGGCGUAAAGCGUGCGCAGGCGGUUCGUUGUGUCGGCGGUGAAAGCCCCGGGCUCAACCUGGGAAUGGCCGUUGAAACUGGCGAACUGGAGUGUGGCAGAGGGGGGUGGAAUUCCGCGUGUAGCAGUGAAAUGCGUAGAGAUGCGGAAGAACACCGAUGGCGAAGGCAGCCCCCUGGGCUAACACUGACGCUCAGGCACGAAAGCGUGGGGAGCAAACAGG